UACGGAGGGAGCUAGCGUUAUUCGGAAUUACUGGGCGUAAAGCGCACGUAGGCGGCUUUGUAAGUAAGAGGCGAAAGCCCAGAGCUCAACUCUGGAAUUGCCUUUUAGACUGCAUCGCUUGAAUCAUGGAGAGGUCAGUGGAAUUCCGAGUGUAGAGGUGAAAUUCGUAGAUAUUCGGAAGAACACCAGUGGCGAAGGCGGCUGACUGGACAUGUAUUGACGCUGAGGUGCGAAAGCGUGGGGAGCAAACAGG
rnacentral:rRNA from 1 species